rnacentral:lncRNA from 1 species
UUCCGUGCAUGAAUUCUCCUUCGCCUAAGCUCGAUCUUUCAUCAGAAUCCUCCACCUAGAUUAUCUUUGCCUUCGAGCUUCUUCAAAGGACUUAUCUUUGCCUUCAACUCCUUCAAAGUACUCGGCGUGAAAAGUAGAGAGAUGAAGAACCUUGAGAAGUAAAAUUUGUUUCAAUAAUCCAUAAACUUUCAAUUGAAUUUCUCAAGUACGCAUAAGUCUUCCUUCGAUAAUCAAGAGAUGUAUUCUUGUCACUCAAGCCGUAAUUUCUCUCACUAGAAAAUAGAAAUGAUCUCAUGAGCUCUCACUAGGUCUACAGCCUUCCCCUGUCUCUAUAUGAUGCUCCUUGAAGUGUUGAAUUACCAAAAAAGGUAUGAACAAAAUCAGUUAGCCAACAAAUCGACGGUCGGUCGUCUGAUCCGUCAAAAGCACACUUGAGCAAAAUCAUCUAGCUAACAGACCGACUCAAUCGGCCAGAUCCG